rnacentral:rRNA from 11 species
ACUUAGAGGGACAUUGCGUGAGUAAUGCACGGAAGAGUCGGGCAAUAACAGGUCUGUGAUGCCCUUAGAUGUCCUGGGCUGCACGCGCGCUACAAUGGCACACGCCCCAAUGUAUCUAUGUCUGACAAGAAUAUAGGAUCAAGCAACGAUGCCGUGCCGGGAAUAGAUGAUUGUAAUUUUUUAUCUUGAACGAGGAAUUCCUAGUAAGGACAGAUCAACAAUCUGUGCUGAUUACGUCCCUGCCCUUUGUACACACCGCCC